rnacentral:rRNA from 1 species
UUACCAUGCAAGUCGAACGGUGACGACGGAGCUUGCUCUGUCUGAUCAGUGGCGAACGGGUGAGUAACACGUGAGUAACCUGCCCCCGACUCUGGAAUAACCGUGGGAAACGACGGCUAAUACCGGAUAUGAGACGCAAAGGCAUCUGUGUGUCUGGAAAGAUUUAUCGGUCAGGGAUGGACUCGCGGCCUAUCAGCUUGUUGGUGGGGUAAUGGCCCACCAAGGCGACGACGGGUAGCCGGCCUGAGAGGGCGACCGGCCACACUGGGACUGAGAUACGGCCCAGACUCCUACGGGAGGCAGCAGUGGGGAAUAUUGCACAAUGGGCGCAAGCCUGAUGCAGCGACGCCGCGUGAGGGAUGAAGGCCUUCGGGUUGUAAACCUCUUUCAGCAGGGAAGAAGCGAAAGUGACGGUACCUGCAGAAGAAGCGCCGGCUAACUACGUGCCAGCAGCCGCGGUAAUACGUAGGGCGCAAGCGUUGUCCGGAAUUAUUGGGCGUAAAGAGCUCGUAGGCGGUUUGUCGCGUCUGCUGUGAAAACCUGAGGCUCAACCUCGGGCUUGCAGUGGGUACGGGCAGACUAGAGUGCGGUAGGGGUGACUGGAAUUCCUGGUGUAGCGGUGGAAUGCGCAGAUAUCAGGAGGAACACCGAUGGCGAAGGCAGGUCACUGGGCCGCAACUGACGCUGAGGAGCGAAAGCAUGGGGAGCGAACAGGAUUAGAUACCCUGGUAGUCCAUGCCGUAAACGUUGGGCACUAGGUGUGGGGCUCAUUCCACGAGUUCCGUGCCGCAGCAAACGCAUUAAGUGCCCCGCCUGGGGAGUACGGCCGCAAGGCUAAAACUC